rnacentral:lncRNA from 1 species
GUUUAGUUUCAUAGUUAUUGUAUUAUUGUUAUUCUUUAUUAUUAUUUGAGCAAAAGUCAGUACGAGUAGACCACGCCUGUGACCUCAACAGCACCUGGGAGUCAGAGGCAGGAAGACUUGCAGCUCAAGGUCAUCUUAACUGGCCUUAGUGGUUUAUUCCUGUGUAUCCCAGCACUGGGAAGCCGGGGAUUGCAGCUAAUUUGUGCCCACCCUGGAUAUAUAGUGUGAUAUCCUGUCUCAAAAACCAAAAGAAAAAGAAAGAAAGAAAGAAAGAAAGAAAGAAAGAAAGAAAGAAGAGAAGAGAGAAAUAAUAUACAAAGUAGUACUUAAUACUAGAGAGCUUUCUUUCUUUAGCUGUAAUUCUCUCCCAUCACCCCUCCGUGCCCGCCCCCCUACCCCACCCUACCUCACCCCAGAGCCUGUGUUAUUUUGUCCCUAGAAAUGAGCCAUCCUUUCUAAUAUGGAAUUCAGAAACUGUAAGGAGAAAGAAUUGAGUUUAAAAACUAGCUCUUUGUGUGGGCUUGUAUUUCUCCAGUCUUUUUUUUUUUUUUGGAGGGGGAGGGGUGAUAUCAAGUAAAAAAUAACUGAGAUGCCAAAUUAAAAAGAGGAGCGUUUUAUAAUAUAAAAGGAAACCAUUUUGUGAUGUUUUCAUCCCCAGACAACUGUGCAGUGCCAGCCCUGCUGCAGUUUUAUGUAGUUCCCUGAAUUCUGUAAAUAGCCCCUUCCGCAGCUGGGCUUCUGACUGUGGGAACUGUAGCUGCUCUCCCCAAGGCUGCUCAGCCAGAGACUGUGGUCCUUGCUCAAUUGCCCCUUGGGACAAAAAUGCCUUGCUUUCACUCCUAGGAAAUAGAUUACAGUGGCACUCUCUUGCUAUGUAGAAAGGCUCCGUUGUCAGCAAGGAAGAUCUCUAUAUAGUGAGUCUCCGAGCUGCGGACCACUGAUAAUUUGCAGGAUGAAAUUUUAGAGGAAAAGAGAUAUUUGUUUGGGCACCGAGCUAAAAAUGUGGAUUUUGACAGAUGGCUUCCCUUUCAGUAGCAGAGUCUUGGUCGCCCGCAGCUCUGUUUGCGAGCCCUGUGGAGUCCAUUCAUUCCGGCUGGGCUCCCAAGGCGCAGGGCGCUGGUGUGGGAGGGAGAGCCUUGGGAACACAGCAGCUGCAGGUUGUGAGCUAACAAUGGUGGCCAUGAGUUCUUCUAGCCUGAGGUCCACAGCUCUGCCUUUCUUGUUUAAAUUUAUCGUAAAAGUCUUUUCUAAAGAAAAACAAAACAAAACAAAUCAAUAUAACCCACAAACAAAGAAUUGUCUACUUCUUGCAUAUUUCCUAGGAAAAACAACCCCCUCAUCUUCAUUAUUUUAUAGCAGAGGGAAGAGAGAUGACUUGACUACCUCUAACAUGUAAGUAUAUCAGCAAGAACAAGAACUAAAUGGUGUCAGCGCUCUCUCAGAGAAGGCCACACCCAUGUGCUCCGAUAUUGUUCUGAUCACUUCUCUCUUAACUCUUAUGUUUAGAAUUGAUAGUAAUGAAUAAAUCCCAACUGUGCUUCAUUAAAAAAAAAAAAAAUUAAACAGCGGAGAGAACAUAAGGAUUGACAAAUAGCUUGUUGAAAAGAUCGUCACAAUUAAAAACUAUUUCAUUUGUGCAUGUAUUGUGCAGGUGUGCAUGUGUAUUUGAGGGUGUGUGUGUGUGUGUGUGUGUGUGUGUGUGUGUAUGUGUGUGUGUGUUUGUCUUUGGAGGCCAGAGGACAACUACAGGAGCAGAUUCUCUUCUUUCACCGUGGGAGUUCCAGGGACAAACCUCACCUUCUCAGCCGUGGUAGCAAGUGCCUUUACCAGCUAAGCCUCCCCUCCUUCCAUCAAAUAAUAAUAAUAAUAAUAAUAAUAAUAAAGCAUACACUACAGAGCCACGAUGAAGUAUAACACAAUUUUUUUUCAAGUAUGGCGAUUCAUUUCUAUUUCUUGAUAAUACAAAAAGAUGAGAAAUGUCUUCUGUUCUUUUGUUUUACAGGGGAUUAAAAGGAGGAUUCUUUGUCACACCACUCAGAGCCAUUCUGUCCCUUAUGCAAAUGAGAGGCUUUUUUUUCUCACCCCUUGAGCAUAAAUAACUUAAGAUCUAGGUCAGAAAUAGACUAUUCGCUUAAACACCGAAAUCCUACAUAUAUGAAUAGAGACCAGUAGGGGGAUGUUAGUCCGUUCUUUUUGUCCCUUACCUGAUUUAAUAGAAUACAAACUAUGGGGGGAACAAAACCCCAUAUUUUUGUUUACAUGUUGCUAGCUCUUAAUUUUACUGUUAACCUCUUUACUUACAUCAACAAGCAGGUAUAUAAUAGUGCGUGCUGCUAACAGGUCCGUUCUGUGCACAUAGAUAUUAGUAGAAAAUCUUAAUUAAUGCCUGUGUAGUCUAAUUAUCUAUUUGCAGGUUCAAACCUGGCCCUAUACUUUAUCAUUUUAUCCCUUCUUUCAAGCCUUGUGCAUGCCAGGCAAGCGCUUUACCCCGGAGCUACAUCCCAGCCCUGCAUGGUGGCUCUUCUUAGCUCUGGAUAGUCUUAGCGAUCUCAAACAUUCAGCUGUGAAAGGUUCUGUGGUUCACUAAUGGCUCAGUAUACCUGGAAGUUUCUGUGGUUCACUAAUGGCUCAGUAUACCUGGCUUCUGAAGUCAGAAACAACUGCUAUAGACGUCUCUCUCACCUGUAUCGGGCCCCAUGGAAUCAUCGUGUCAAGUCUAUCUCAUAAAUCUUUCCUGUUUGUCAUUUUGAAAAAAUGGCUCAUGUAGCAUGGGCUAGCUUCCAACUUGAUUCAGUAUGUAGCUACGGUUGGCCUUGAACUCCCAAUCUUCCAGCGUCCAUGUCCCAAGUGCUGAGAUUAUAGGCAUGUGCUGUCACAAGUAACACUCAACUCCCAUUUAAAAAAAAAAUUGUUGUUGUUGUUGUUGUUGUUGUUGUUGUUGUUGUUGUUGUUGUUGUUGUUGUUGUAGUAUCGAGACAGGGUUUCUUUGUGUAUUCCUGGCUGUCCUGGAACUCACUCUAUAGACCAGGCUGGUCUCAAACUCACAGAAUUCCCCCUGCCUCUGCCUUCAAAGUGCUAGGAUUAAAGUCAUGUGCCACAAGCAAAGUCACAGGGCUUCACUAGUCUUUUGAAACCUCAAAUCCCACCACUAGUGACACACCUCCUCCAGUGAGGAUGUACUUCCUGAUCCUUCCCAAACCAAGUGUUCAAAUGUGAGCUUUAUGCGGGGUGUUCUUAUUCAAACCACCAGUGUGUGUGUGUGUGUGUGUGUGUGUGUGUAUGUUUGGUAAUUUCAUACAUAAGUACCCACCACCUUCCACUUCCUCCCAGACUACCCCUUCCCUCUCAGAAGUUCAUGACUUUCUCUUCUUCCUCUUAUUUCCUAAUGCCAUCCAACUGAAUCGCUACAGGAUAGCCACACCGCUUUUAGAAUAAUAGCACAUGUGUACUGCAGGCCAUGUCGUCGUUCUACUGUUUAAAGUAGACCAGUGAUUGUGUAAGGUAACACUCCCAAGUCUUUACUCGCCUGUUUGAAUUGCAUACCAGAAGUAGCACAUUUUAUACUUUAAAAAUAUCUGACAGUUCUGGGCUGGGGAGAUGGCUCGCUGGGUAAGAAGAGCACCAGCUGUUCUUCCAGAAGGCUGGUUUUCUGUCCCCAGCACCCACAUGGUGGCUCAAACCAUCUGUAACUCCAGUUCAGGGGAUUUGAUUCCCUCUUCUGGUCCCUUGGCUACCAGACACAUAUAUGAUACAUACACAUGCAGGCAAAACACAGAUAUGUGAUUUUUGUUUGUUUGUUUGUUUUGUUUUUUUGAGGCAGGGUUUCUCUGUGUAGCCCUGGCUGUCCUGGAACUCACUUUGUAGACCAGGCUGGCCUCGAACUCAGAAAUCCACCUGCCUCUGCCUCCUGAGUGCUGGGAUUAAAGGCGUGCGCCACCACACCCAGCUGCCUGAUUGCUUUUGAUUUUCAAAAUCCUGGGUAUGUAUGUGCUCAUGCAUGUGCAUGUGUGCUUGUGUGUGCAUGUGAGCACCAUAGCACACAUAUGGAUGGGAGGAUAUCACCCCUUAACGUCCACCUUUAGGGUAGGAUCCCCAUUCUUGCUCCCCAGAUUUGCAUGGCUCCCAUGAUCCAAGCUCAGGCCCUCACACUCACAUGGCAAGCAUCUGACCCACUGAGCCCAUCGAUUUAUUUCAGUCUGGUCUCAGACUUGCUCUGUAGCCGAGAAUGACCCUGAACUUGUACUCCUCAGGCCUCUGUGUUCCAAGAGCUGAGACAAUGUUUUUAUGUGGUGCUAGACACUGAACCCAGGGCUUCAAGGAGGCUACACAAGCACUCUAGGCACAGAACUUCAUCCCUCGCUGGACACACCGAUUUAUUUAUUUAUUUAUUUAUUUAUUUAUUUAUUUAUUAUAUGUAAGUUCACUGUAGCUGUCUUCAGAUACUCCAGAAGAGGGAGUCAGAUCUCAUUACGGGUGGUUGUGAGCCACCAUGUGGUUGCUGGGAUUUGAACUCAGGACCUUCAAAAGAACAGUCAGUGUUCUUAACCACUGAGCCAUCUCUCCAGCCCUAUUUAUUUAUUUUUAAGAUUUAUUUUAUGUGUAUGAGUGCUCUAUCUACAUGCACACCUCCGUGCUAGAAGAGGGCAUCAGAUCCCACUGCAGAUGGAUGUGAGCCACCAAUGUGGUUGCUGGGAAUUAAACUCAGGACCUUCAUUAGAGCAGACAGUGCUCUUAACCGUUGAGCCAUCUCUCCAGUCCCUGGACACACUGAUUUUAAGUUGACAUUAAAAUUUAAAUAAUUGUUCUAGAAGUUGGUAUGGAAAUGGUAGGCGCAGUGGGCCCCGGGAUUGAAGGAGUCAUGGAAAGGACCCGAGACCUGGCACUUGGAGGCCAGAAGAGGCAUUGGGGAAGUUGCAGUCUCAGAUGCAGUGGAGACCCCUCCCUCCCCAAGAUUUUGGAAAUGCAAGAAACAUGGGCCAUUUAGUAAGGACAAUGGCAGUUGUGCAAUGGACCUGGCCUGAGACUGU